rnacentral:misc_RNA from 1 species
AAGUCGUAACAAGGUCUCCGUUGGUGAACCAGCGGAGGGAUCAUUGCUGGAACGCGCCCCAGGCGCACCCAGAAACCCUUUGUGAACUUAUACCUUACUGUUGCCUCGGCGCAUGCCGGCCCCCCGGGCCUGGCCCUCCUCGGAGGAGCAGGCACGCCGGCGGCCAACCUAACUCUUGUAUUUACACUGAAACUCUGAGGAUAAAACAUAAAUGAAUCAAAA